GGAGGGCGCAAGCGUUGUUCGGAAUCAUUGGGCGUAAAGCGCGUGUAGGCGGCUUGGCAAGUCGGGUGUGAAAGCCCGGGGCUCAACCCCGGAAUUGCACUCGAUACUGCCUCGCUAGAGUCCCGGAGAGGGUGGCGGAAUUCCCGGUGUAGAGGUGAAAUUCGUAGAUAUCGGGAGGAACACCAGCGGCGAAGGCGGCCACCUGGACGGUGACUGACGCUGAGACGCGAAAGCGUGGGGAGCAAACAGGAUUAGAUACCCUGGUAGUCCACGCCGUAAACGUUGGGUGCUAGGCGCUGCGGGUAUUGACCCCUGCAGUGCCGACGUUAACGCAUUAAGCACCCCGCCUGGGGGAGUACGGUCGCAAGAUUA
rnacentral:rRNA from 1 species